AUUGAACGCUGGCGGCAUGCCUUACACAUGCAAGUCGAACGGUAACGGGCCUUCGGGUGCCGACGAGUGGCGCACGGGUGAGUAAUACAUCGGAACGUGCCCGAUCGUGGGGGGUAACGAGGCGAAAGCUUUGCUAAUACCGCAUACGAUCUACGGAUGAAAGCAGGGGACCGCAAGGCCUUGCGCGGACGGAGCGGCCGAUGGCAGAUUAGGUAGUUGGUGGGAUAAAAGCUUACCAAGCCGACGAUCUGUAGCUGGUCUGAGAGGAUGAUCAGCCACACUGGGACUGAGACACGGCCCAGACUCCUACGGGAGGCAGCAGUGGGGAAUUUUGGACAAUGGGCGCAAGCCUGAUCCAGCCAUGCCGCGUGCAGGAUGAAGGCCUUCGGGUUGUAAACUGCUUUUGUACGGAACGAAAAGCCUUCUUUUAAUACAGGAGGGUCAUGACGGUACCGUAAGAAUAAGCACCGGCUAACUACGUG
rnacentral:rRNA from 1 species